GGAGAAGUCAUCCAAGCAAAGGUCAGAGGAAAGAGGACUCCAGGCAGAAUAGCAGCUUGGGCAAGGAGCAGGGGUGAGCUUGGUAAGCCUGAGCACUAUUUUCAUGAAAACUGCCUGCUCAAUCUAUUCUUUAAGGACCUGAAAACCCAGACCCCAAAGGAAUGUUCUGCUUUGCCAACAUUCACUGUCCCGGUGUUUGCUGACUUCACAAACAGAACUUGAUGAAAAUAUGAAAAGACCUGAGAAAGGGUGAAUGUAUGAGAGGAAGAUCCUCUGGGAGCCCAAGGAAUUUACAGAUCCCUGAAUUUUAUCACUGUAGUUACUUUUAAAUUAAAGACAAUAACUGUUCCUUCCAGGUUCUCGUUGACAAAUAAGAAUGCCGAUGUCACUCAAGCAUAUGAUAUGAUAAUCUUUCCCAGAACUGGGAGUAUUCAGAACUAACCAGACAUGGGAACUGUGUUUUUUCAAUGUCUGAGACUUUCUCCUAAUUCCAUCUUAGUCACACGUAGUUACUCAUUACCUUGAAGGGCAUUAAGAGUUUAUCCAUGGCUGCUGUACAUUUUGUGCUGCUUUGCUAAAUCAGGAAAAAAUGCAGACAGCUGAGUCAUAGUUUUCAAUUAGUUUUUCAAUUUCACCAGGAACAAAGUUUUUCAAUAUCUUUAUCAAUUUUGUUGCUUUUCAUAUUACUCUGAUUACAUACUUUGCAGGAUAAUCCAGCCUUUUCCUGAAGUAUAUUAAUAAUGCAUAAUAUAAAUGGGGAGCUGCAUUAUCAAAGUACUCUUAAACAGAGGUGAAAACUUGAAAUCCAGCAAGAUUUAGUGAUUCACAUUCAUGGUCUAUAGAGAUGUGACAGAGGAAAGGAGAAUAAGACAAUUAAGAACCUUGAAAUCAUGACAGGGAUUUAUUACCCAAGAAGAACU
rnacentral:lncRNA from 10 species